rnacentral:rRNA from 2 species
UUGACCUCAAAUCAGGUAGGACUACCCGCUGAACUUAAGCAUAUCAAUAAGCGGAGGAAAAGAAACUAACAAGGAUUCCCCUAGUAACUGCGAGUGAAGCGGGAAAAGCUCAAAUUUGAAAUCUGGCAGUUUUUGACUGUCCGAGUUGUAAUCUAGAGAAGUGUUACCUGUGCUGGACCGUGUGCAAGUCUCCUGGAAUGGAGCGUCAUAGAGGGUGAGAAUCCCGUCUUUAACACGGACUACCAUGUACAUUAUGGUGCGCUCUCAAAGAGUCGAGUUGUUUGGGAAUGCAGCUCAAAAUGGGUGGUAAAUGCCAUCUAAAGCUAAAUAUUGGCGAGAGACCGAUAGCGAACAAGUACCGUGAGGGAAAGAUGAAAAGAACUUUGGAAAGAGAGUUAAACAGUACGUGAAAUUGCUGAAAGGGAAACGCUUGAAGUCAGUCGCGUUGGCUAGAAAUCAGCCUUGCUUUUGCUUGGUGUACUUUCUGGUUGAUGGGUCAGCAUCAAUUUUGAUCACUGGAUAAAGUCUUUGGGAAUGUGGCAUCUUUGGAUGUGUUAUAGCCCAUUGUCGCAUACAGUGGUUGGGAUUGAGGAACUCAGCACGCCGUAAGGCCAGGUUUCGACCAUGUUCGUGCUUAGGAUGCUGGCAUAAUGGCUUUAAUCGACCCGUC